UACGGAGGAUCCAAGCGUUAUCCGGAUUUAUUGGGUUUAAAGGGUGCGUAGGCGGUUUGAUAAGUUAGAGGUGAAAGCCCGCAGCUCAACUGCGGAACUGCCUCUGAUACUGUCAGACUAGAGAAUAGUUGCUGUUGGCGGAAUGUGUGGUGUAGCGGUGAAAUGCUUAGAGAUCACACAGAACACCGAUUGCGAAGGCAGCUGACAAAGCUAUUUCUGACGCUGAGGCACGAAAGCGUGGGGAGCAAACAGG
rnacentral:rRNA from 1 species